rnacentral:rRNA from 1 species
GCGGUCCAAGUUCUUUGGAACAGGACGUCACAGAGGGUGAGAAUCCCGUACGUGGUCGCUAUCCUUCGCCGUGUAAAGCCCCUUCGACGAGUCGAGUUGUUUGGGAAUGCAGCUCUAAAUGGGAGGUAAAUUUCUUCUAAAGCUAAAUACUGGCCAGAGACCGAUAGCGCACAAGUAGAGUGAUCGAAAGAUGAAAAGCACUUUGGAAAGAGAGUCAAAUAGCACGUGAAAUUGUUGAAAGGGAAGCGCUUGCAGCCAGACUUGCCUGUAGUUGCUUAUCCGGACUUUUGUCCGGUGCACUCUUCUGCGGGCAGGCCAGCAUCAGUUUGGGCAGUUGGAUAAAGGUCUCUGUCAUGUACCUCUCUUCGGGGAGGCCUUAUAGGGGAGACGACAUGCAACUAGCCUGGACUGAGGUCCGCGCAUCUGCUAGGAUGCUGGCGUAAUGGCUGUAAGCGGCCCGUCUUGAAACACGGACCAAGGAGUCUAACAUCUAUGCGAGUGUUUGGGUGUCAAGCCCAGACGCGUAAUGAAAGUGAACGGAGGUGGGAACCCUUUGGGUGCACCAUCGACCGAUCCUGAUGUUUUCGGAAGGAUUUGAGUAAGAGCAUGGCUGUUGGGACCCGAAAGAUGGUGAACUAUGCUUGAAUAGGGUGAAGCCAGAGGAAACUCUGGUGGAGGCUCGCAGCGGUUCUGACGUGCAAAUCGAUCGUCAAAUUUGGGCAUAGGGGCGAAAGACUAAUCGAACUAUCUAGUAGCUGGUUCCUGCCGAAGUUUCCCUCAGGAUAGCAGUAACGUAUUCAGUUUUAUGAGGUAAAGCGAAUGAUUAGAGGCCUGGGGGUUGAAACAACCUUCACCUAUUCUCAAACUUUAAAUAUGUAAGAAGUCCUUGUUACUUGAUUGAACGUGGACAUUUGAAUGUACCGUUACUAGUGGGCCAUUUUUGGUAAGCAGAACUGGCGAUGCGGGAUGAACCGAACGCGGGGUUAAGGUGCCAGAAUAUACGCUCAUCAGACACCACAAAAGGUGUUAGUUCAUCUAGACAGCAGGACGGUGGCCAUGGAAGUCGGAAUCCGCUAAGGAGUGUGUAACAACUCACCUGCCGAAUGAACUAGCCCUGAAAAUGGAUG